GACGAACGCUGGCGGCGUGCUUAACACAUGCAAGUCGAACGAAGUGGCGAACGGGUGAGUAACGCGUAAUCAACCUGCCCUUCAGCGGGGGACAACAGUUGGAAACGACUGCUAAUACCGCAUACUGAAGUAGGGGAUUGCGUCGGAUUAGCUAGUUGGAGGGGUAACGGCCCACCAAGGCGAUGAUCAGUAGCCGGUCUGAGAGGAGGGACGGCCACAUUGGGGCUGAGACACGGCCCAGACUCCUACGGGAGGGAGCAGGGGGGGAUCUUCCGGAAUGGACGAAAGGCUGACGGAGCAACGCCGCGUGAGUGAUGACGGCCUUCGGGUUGGAAAGCUCUGUUUGUCGGGACGCGGUACCGGAAUAGAAAGCCACGGCUAACUACGUGCCAGCAGCCGCGGUAAUUC
rnacentral:rRNA from 1 species